rnacentral:rRNA from 1 species
ACGGGUGAGUAAUGUCUGGGGAUCUGCCCGAUAGAGGGGGAUAACCACUGGAAACGGUGGCUAAUACCGCAUAACGUCGCAAGACCAAAGAGGGGGACCUUCGGGCCUCUCACUAUCGGAUGAACCCAGAUGGGAUUAGCUAGUAGGCGGGGUAACGGCCCACCUAGGCGACGAUCCCUAGCUGGUCUGAGAGGAUGACCAGCCACACUGGAACUGAGACACGGUCCAGACUCCUACGGGAGGCAGCAGUGGGGAAUAUUGCACAAUGGGCGCAAGCCUGAUGCAGCCAUGCCGCGUGUAUGAAGAAGGCCUUCGGGUUGUAAAGUACUUUCAGCGGGGAGGAAGGCGAUGUGGUUAAUAACCGCAUUGAUUGACGUUACCCGCAGAAGAAGCACCGGCUAACUCCGUGCCAGCAGCCGCGGUAAUACGGAGGGUGCAAGCGUUAAUCGGAAUUACCGGGCGUAAAGCGCACGCAGGCGGUCUGUUAAGUCAGAUGUGAAAUCCCCGGGCUUAACCUGGGAACUGCAUUUGAAACUGGCAGGCUUGAGUCUCGUAGAGGGGGGUAGAAUUCCAGGUGUA